GUGAGGAUGCCCCUAAUUUCCCGCCAGGAAACAAGGAGCUGGUAUCAGGCACACAACCGUUUUGCCCACGACAUCUUGCUUCGCCACACCCCUAAGGGAACUCAGCAGUGAUAAACAUUAAGCAAUAAGCGAAAGCUUGACUUAGUUAAGGUUAGUGAGGGCCGGUAAAACUCGUGCCAGCCACCGCGGUUAUACGAGAGACCCGAGUUGACAGGCUUUCGGCGUAAAGAGUGGUUAAACUGAUUUUUAACUAAAGCCGAAACUCCCUCAGAACUGUUAUACGUACCCGAGGGUAAGAAGCCCCCUUACGAAAGUAGCUUUAAUACUUUUGACCCCACGAAAGCUGCGAAACAAACUGGGAUUAGAUACCCCACUAUGCCCAGCCGUAAACAUUGAUAGCCCCCGUACAAAAGCUAUUCGCCUGGGUACUACGAGCACCAGCUUAGAACCCAAAGGACUUGGCGGUGCUUAAGACCCCCCUAGAGGAGCCUGUUCUAGAACCGAUAACCCCCGUUCAACCUCACCUUCCCUGGCCAACCCCGUCUAUAUACCGCCGUCGUCAGCUUACCCCCUGAGGGGUCCUCAGUAAGCAAAAUUGGUUAGCCCCAAAACGUCAGGUCGAGGUGUAACGCAUGGGAAGGGUAGAAAUGGGCUACAUUCCUUAUCUUUAAGGAAUAACGAAUAGUGUAAUGAAACUUGCACUGGAAGGAGGAUUUAGCAGUAAGCAGAAAGUAGAGCGUUCCGCUGAAGCCGGCCCUAAAGCGCGCACACACCGCCCGUCAUUCUCCCUGAGCUUAGGACACUUUAUUAACUAAAACCACAAAAUAGUAAAGGGGAGGCAAGUCGUAACAUGGUAAGUGUACCGGAAGGUGCACUUGGAAGAAAU
rnacentral:ncRNA from 1 species